rnacentral:rRNA from 1 species
CCUACGGGUGGCAGCAGUAGGGAAUCUUCCACAAUGGGCGAAAGCCUGAUGGAGCAACGCCGCGUGGGUGAAGAAGGUCUUCGGAUCGUAAAGCCCUGUUGUUAGAGAAGAACGUGCGUGAGAGUGACUGUUCACGUUUCGACGGUAUCUAACCAGAAAGCCACGGCUAACUACGUGCCAGCAGCCGCGGUAAUACGUAGGUGGCAAGCGUUAUCCGGAUUUUUUGGGCGUAAAGGGAACGCAGGCGGUCUUUUAAGUCUGAUGUUAAAGCCUUCGGGUUAACCGGAGUAGUGCAUUGGAAACUGGGAGACUUGAGUGCAGAAGAGGAGAGUGGAACUCCAUGUGUAGCGGUGAAAUGCGUAGAUAUAUGGAAGAACACCAGUGGCGAAAGCGGCUCUCUGGUCUGUAACUGACGCUGAGGUUCGAAAGCGUGGGUAGCAAACAGGAUUAGAUACCCCUGUAGUC